rnacentral:snRNA from 1 species
GUGCUCGCUUCGGCAGCACAUAUACUAAAAUUGGAAUGAUACAGAGAAGAUUAGCAUAGCCCCUGCGCAAGGAUGACACACAAAUUCGUGAAGCGUUCCAUACUUUU